UGGGGAAUAUUGGACAAUGGGGGCAACCCUGAUCCAGCGACGCCGCGUGUGUGAAGAAGGCCUGCGGGUUGUAAAGCACUUUUAGUGGGGACAAAAAGCUACGGGCUAAUACCCUGUGGUCUUGAUUUAACCCAAAGAAAAAGCACCGGCUAACUCUGUGCCAGCAGCCGCGGUAAUACAGAGGGUGCGAGCGUUAAUCGGAAUUACUGGGCGUAAAGCGUGCGUAGACGGUUUCGUAAGUCGGGUGUGAAAUCCCCGGGCUCAACCUGGGAAUUGCAUUCGAAACUGCGAGGCUAGGGUACGGAAGAGGGAAGCGGAAUUUCUGGUGUAGCGGUGAAAUGCGUAGAUAUCAGAAGGAACAUCAGUGGCGAAAGCGGCUUCCUGGUCCAGUACCGACGUUCAGGCACGAAAGCGUGGGGAGCAAACAG
rnacentral:rRNA from 1 species